rnacentral:rRNA from 1 species
GAUGAACGCUAGCGGCAGGCUUAAUACAUGCAAGUCGAGGGGCAGCGCGGUGUAGCAAUACACUGGCGGCGACCGGCAAACGGGUGCGGAACACGUACACAACCUUCCUUCGAGCGGGGAAUAGCCCAGAGAAAUUUGGAUUAAUACCCCAUAGUAAACUGACCCGGCAUCGGGAUGGUUUUAAAGAUUUAUCACUUGAAGAUGGGUGUGGCGGCUGAUUAGGUAGUUGGCGGGGUAACGGCCCACCAAGCCGACGAUCAGUAACUGGUGUGGGAGCCGAACAGGCAACAGGGGCACGGAGACACGGGCCCGACUCCUCGGGAAGCAACCGUAAGGAAUAUUGGUCAAUGGACGAAAGUCUGAACCAGCCAUGCCGCGUGGAGGAUGAAGGUCCUCUGGAUUGUAAACUUCUUUUAUAUGGGACGAAAAAAGGUUUUUCUAGACCGACUGACGGUACCAUAUGAAUAAGCACCGGCUAACUCCGUGCCAGCAGCCGCCGUAACAC